GGACAUAUCAGAGACAGAGAUGCCAUGGCCAUGAAGGUUGCCUUCCAAAGGUGAGACUCAGUCAGUGUGCUCUGAUUGUCCUGACUCUGACAGUCUGCAAAUGUGGGAAACUUUAGGGCAUAAUCUGUGGUAGUUGGCACCGUGUUUACUCAGGCUCCCCC
rnacentral:snRNA from 1 species